rnacentral:tRNA from 1 species
UCGGGGAUAGCUGAACGGUAAAGCGCAGGGCUGGCCAGCAUUAAAACGUGUGCCUGAGGUUAACGGUUCGACUCCGUUUCUCCGAU